CCUACGGGCGGCUGCAGUGGGGGAUAUUGCACAAUGGGGGAAACCCUGAUGCAGCGACGCCGCGUGUGGGAAGACGGUCUUCUGGAUUGUAAACCACUGUCCCCAGGGACGAAAAUGACGGUACCUGGGGAGGAAGCUCCGGCUAACUACGUGCCAGCAGCCGCGGUAAUACGUAGGGAGCAAGCGUUGUCCGGAAUUACUGGGUGUAAAGGGAGCGUAGGCGGGGAUGCAAGUUGGGUGUCAAAACUACCGGCUCAACCGAUAGUCGCACUCAAAACUGCAACUCUUGAGUGAAGUAGAGGCAGGCGGAAGUCCUAGUGUAGCGGUGAAAUGCGUAGAUAUUAGGAGGAACACCAGUGGCGAAGGCGGCCUGCUGGGCUUUUACUGACGCUGAGGCUCGAAAGUGUGGGGAGCAAACAGGAUUAGAUACCCUUGUAGUC
rnacentral:rRNA from 1 species